rnacentral:rRNA from 1 species
CGUUGCCUCGGCGGGCAGCCGGAGCCCAGCUCCGUCGCCCGGAGCCGCCGUCUCGGCGCGCCCCACCCGCCGGCGGACCACCAAACUCUAUUUAAACGACGUCUCUUCUGAGUGGCACAAGCAAAUAAUCAAAACUUUUAACAACGGAUCUCUUGGUUCUGGCAUCGAUGAAGAACGCAGCGAAAUGCGAUAAGUAAUGUGAAUUGCAGAAUUCAGUGAAUCAUCGAAUCUUUGAACGCACAUUGCGCCCGCCAGCAUUCUGGCGGGCAUGCCUGUUCGAGCGUCAUUUCAACCCUCAAGCACCGCUUGGCGUUGGGGCCCUACGGCUUCCGUAGGCCCCGAAAUACAGUGGCGGACCCUCCCGGAGCCUCCUUUGCGUAGUAACAUACCACCUCGCACUGGGAUCCGGAGGGACUCCUGCCGUAAAACCCCCCAAUUUUCCAAAGGUUGACCUCGGAUCAGGUAGGAAUACCCGCUGAACUUAAGCAU